rnacentral:rRNA from 1 species
GAUGAACGCUAGCUACAGGCUUAACACAUGCAAGUCGCGGGGCAGCAUUUCCUUAGCUUGCUAAGGAGAUGGCGACCGGCGCACGGGUGAGUAACGCGUAUCCAACCUUCCCAUGUCCACGGGAUAGCCCGUCGAAAGGCGGAUUAAUACCGUAUGAGGUCACAUGCGGGCAUCUAAGUGUGACGAAAGGUUUAGCGGACAUGGAUGGGGAUGNGUCCGAUUAGCUUGUUGGCGGGGUAACGGCCCACCAAGGCGACGAUCGUAGGGGUUCUGAGAGGAAGGUCCCCCACAUUGGAACUGAGACACGGUCCAAACUCCUACGGGAGGCAGCAGUGAGGAAUAUUGGUCAAUGGGCGAGAGCCUGAACCAGCCAAGUAGCGUGCAGGAUGACGGCCCUAUGGGUUGUAAACUGCUUUUAUAAGGGAAUAAAGUGGGUCUCGUGAGACUUUUGCAUGUACCUUAUGAAUAAGGACCGGCUAAUUCCGUG